AUAUCACAUACUGAGUUAAUAAAUACACACGAGCACAUGAUGUCAUUGUGUGAUAUCAGGUUUUACAGUCUGGAUCACCUCCAAGGGCGGGCGCAGGGUUUUUCUGAGGAAUUUUCUUGCCUGAAGUUAAAGUUCCACUUCAAAGAAUAGGCUACGCUUUUUGGGGGGGUCUAGAAAGCCAGUGUGUAUAUAAGUUUUAUACCCAUUUUAGCUAAUCCUAUAUAAAAGGUAUCACACAAACAAAAUCUGUUCAUGCAUAAAGAAUAUCGAAGCAAGAGAGAGAGACAGUAACAUUUUCAGAAGCGAAAUACGAUAGUGAUGGGAGCCACAGCGACGGGUCUGUCAAAGGAAAAGGGCGAAGUGGAACUGAAGGACGUGCUAGUGAGCAGCGUGGAAUGGGAACGUCCGGACUUGUCUGGAAGCGAAGCAGAAGCGAGAAAAGGAGAGACAGGGGUGCAAGAACCAGACGUUGUAAUGAUGUCUUACAUUUAUAUUGUAACUCUACGCCUUUAAGGUUUGAGCGGUUGGGAGACUGACGUCGGACCCCUCCUUUCAACGGAGAAGAUUUAGUCCGUGUAGAUUUGAUUAUUGAGUUUUCAUACUGUGAUAUGUAUAGUGCUGUAUAAAUUCCAAUUGCGUAUUAUUUUGUUUUGUGUAAUCUGUACAGAAAUGCUGUACUGAUUUUGAUUUCCAAAUAAAAUGUAAUGUGGACCACUUUA